rnacentral:rRNA from 1 species
GACGUAGGGCGCGAGCGUUUGUCCGGAUUUAUUGGGCGUAAAGAGCUCGUAGGUGGCUUGUCACGUCGGGUGUGAAAGCUUGGGCUUGAACUCCAGGUCUGCAUUCGAUACGGGCUGGCUAGAGGUAGGUAGGGGAGAACGGAAUUCCUGGUGUAGCGGUGAAAUGCGCAGAUAUCAGGAGGAACACCGGUGGCGAAGGCGGUUCUCUGGGCCUUACCUGACGCUGAGGAGCGAAGCGUGGGGAGCGAACAGG